rnacentral:rRNA from 1 species
CGAAUACUAUCAAUCUUACAUACUAUUAAUACAUAAGCCUUACUCUUCGAUGACAGGAGUUUACAAUCCGAAGACCGUCAUCCUCCACGCGGCGUCGCACCGUCAGGGUUUCCCCCAUUGCGAA